rnacentral:rRNA from 1 species
GCUUACGGCCACACCGCCUGGUUCCACGCCCGAUCUCGUUUGAUCUCGGAAGCUAAAAUAGGUUGGGCCUGGUUAGUACUUGGAUGGGAGACCGCCUGGGAAUACCAGGUGCUGUAAGCU